GCCGUCGUCGACCAGUGGAAGGGCCUUCUCGAAAUGUAAACCUAUUCUGGUCGUUGCUACAAGAGAAAGACGGGGGUUCGAUCCCUCCCGACGACA